GGUUUAAAUUACAUUGUUAGUAUUUGUAUUAGAAGCACGUUGUAGUAUAUCACUGUGACGACUACUUUGACUACUGGGGGAAAGGAACCCAAGUCACAGUAACUUCUGCCACUGCAACCGCACCAACUGUGUUUCCUCUGAUGCAAUGUGGUUCUGGGACUGGAACCACAAUCACUCUUGGCUGCUUCGCCACCGGCUUCACACCCUCCACACUGACCUUUGCAUGGAACAAAGUAAAUGGCGCUGCCUUGACUGACUUCAUUCAGUACCCUCCAAUACAAAAGGGAGGCCUUUACACGGGGGUCAGUCAAAUCCGAGUGAGCCGACAGGACUGGGACGCAAAGAAUACUUUCCGAUGUGCCGUGACACAUGCAGCGGGACCUGCAGAGGUCAUCUUUAAACCGAUAAACAAGGAGGUUGCCUUGCCAAACAUCUCAAUACACCCAGUUUGGGAGGGUGAAUUCGGGACCUUACCAAGCAGACUCAUCUGCACCAUUAGUGGUUUCUUUCCAGACAAACUGAGUUUGGAGUGGGAGCAGGACAACCAAACUCUAAAUACUGUGCCACACCCAAGGAAGCUGCAGUGUGUGGAGGAAAUGGAGAAAACCAUCAGUCUGAGCAGUGAGAUCGAGCCAAAUAUGACUGAGUGGGCACAAGCCUCAAGUUUUACGUGCAAGUCCGUUCACAACAAUCAGGAAUUUAUGAAAACAAUAAGUAUUUGUCAAUAUCAUACAAAGAACUCUCCUUCCAUCCACGUGGAGAUUCCCAGCUUCAAGACAGUAAUGAUGGCAGAAUUCUCCGUAAAAGCAACAUGUUUUGUCGACACUCUUCUUGAUGCUAAGGUGACCUGGCUGAUGGAUGAGACAGUCGCACCGGGUAGCACAGUGACAGAAAACAGAAACACAACUCGUUUAGUCAGUGAACUGACGGUUUCUUCAAGUACAUGGAAACAACUCAAGUCGAUAACAUGUAAAGCUGACCAUAAGUGCUUCUCAUCCACUAAGAACACUGAGAAUGUCAGAGGACCUGCAGCUACAGCUCCAUUGGUUGAGAUCAGGAGAUCUCUCAAAGAUUUGCUGAAAGGAGACAGUGCUGUGCUGGAGUGUGAUGUCACAAACCUCUCAUCAUGUGACCUGUACAUCAACUUUGAAGCCAACAGUGUUGACAUCUCUGACAAACAGUAUGUUCAACUUGCUAAAGCCCCAGGCCUCCAUUCAAUCAGUAGACGUUUCUCUGUUCCUUCAAGUUAUUUGAAGACAAACACAAGUUUCACCUGCAAAGUGACCCAAGGAUUCUCCAGCAGCAUUAAGUCAAACUCCAUAGGCAAUUUUUUUGUGGACCCAUCAAUGGAACUUUUUCUGGCCCCCAGUGAAGAGUCAGGAAAACAGACACUCCUGUGCUUUGGUUGGGGCUUCAACCCUCAAAUUAAAUGGUCUUCUGAGUCCCAGCACAGACCUUCAUCAACCAAUGACAUCAGCAUGAGAGGAGAUGGACGUGUGGCAGUAACCAGCCAACUUCAUGUCCCUCACACAGAGUGGAAAACAGGGACCGUCUUCACCUGUGAAGUAUCUGACAAGUCUCUGAACACAAAUCUGACAAAGGACAUCAGCGUCUGCUCAGUAACUCCUGCAUCAUCUCAGAUAGUUGGCGUGUAUGUUCAGGGACCGCCACUCGACGAGCUUCAGAACAAGGGACAUGUGACUAUCAGCUGUCUUCUGGUUGGCCCUUCUCUUAACGACUUCUCCGUCACCUGGAAAGUAGGCGGGUACAGUUAUUCCCUGAAUGUCCACAAGGAGCCUCUAGUGAGUCAUGGCAAUGGGACAGAAACUUUACGGAGCUCCCUCAAUGUGCCAGCGGGGGAUUGGCAUGCAUUUAAACAAGUGUCUUGUGAGGCCAAGCACCGAUGUUCCAACCAGGGCUAUGAGGACCAUACAACCAAAAGCACAGAGCUGUAUCCACCAGCAGUGAAGAUAAUACAACCAACUGCCGAUGACCUUUCUACCUCAGACGGCCUCGCACUUAUUUGCCAAGUGUCUGGAUUUUUCCCGUCAAAUAUCAUAGUGUACUGGGAGGAGAAUGGCCAGAGACUCACUUCAACUCACUUCACCAACAGUCCAACAUGGAAAUACACAGGGAGCAGCACAUAUUCAAUGAGCAGCAGACUAAACACAUCACAAACGGAGGACAAGGAGUCUACGUAUUCUUGUGUUGUCAGACACGAGUCAUCUGAAAGCACUAUAAAGGAUGUGUAUGCCACAGUGACCCACAGCAAACCUUCAGCGACCUUGCUCCACGGCUCUGGUGAACUUGUGUGCCUGGUCUUCGGCUUCAGCCCUGCAUCCAUUAACGUCACUUGGUUUCUGGAUGACACCAGGGAACUGUUGGACUACAACACUAGUGAACCCCACAGAGGCCCAAACAGAAAGUUCAGCAUUCAAAGCCACCUGCGUCUGUCCCAAGUCAUCUGGUUACCUGGGGCGAACAUCACCUGCAGGGUGACGCAUGCAAACAUCACCCUAUCCCUGGAUAUAUCUAAACCAGACUCCUUGAAGGACUGUGAUUUCAUAGAUGACAUCAUGCAUGCUGGACUGUACCAGGACACAGCUGUGGAUAGCUGGUAUAUGGCUUUCAUUUUCCUCAUUUUCUUCCUCAUCUCCCUUAUCUAUGGUGUCUUGGCUACCUUGAUGAAGAUUAAAUGAUGAUGAUCCCAGGAGGACAGAUCCCUUUUUAUGAUCCAAAUGUGGACUUUUGAAGAUUUUUAUGGCAUUUGGCUUUUUCUAGUUUUAAAGUGUAAUGGAUUAAUUUAUGUAUAAACAUAUAUUGUUAUAUGUGAGGGAACUGGUUUAUACUUUAGGCCUGUUUGUUUAUUUUUAAGUUCCAGCUCUACAUUUGGCGUGGCGUGUAUGUAUUGCAUUUGUGUAAGAGGAGAAAUGAUGACAGCAAUAAAAAAUGAAAUAAAAAAAUUAAACUUUAAA